AUAUCAAUAAGCGGAGGAAAAGAAACCAACAGGGAUUGCCUUAGUAACGGCGAGUGAAGCGGCAAAAGCUCAAAUUUGAAAUCUGGCACCUUCGGUGUCCGAGUUGUAAUUUGAAGAAGGUAACUUUGGAGUCAGCUCUUGUCUAUGUUCCUUGGAACAGGACGUCACAGAGGGUGAGAAUCCCGUGCGAUGAGAUGUCUGAUUCUAUGUAAAGUGCUUUCGAAGAGUCGAGUUGUUUGGGAAUGCAGCUCUAAGUGGGUGGUAAAUUCCAUCUAAAGCUAAAUAUUGGCGAGAGACCGAUAGCGAACAAGUACAGUGAUGGAAAGAUGAAAAGAACUUUGAAAAGAGAGUGAAAAAGUACGUGAAAUUGUUGAAAGGGAAGGGUUUGAGAUCAGACUUGGUAUUUUGUAUGUCUUGCUUUCGGGUGGGGCCUCUACAGUUUACUGGGCCAGCAUCGGUUUGGACGGUAGGAUAAUGACAUUGGAAUGUGGCACCACUUCGGUGGUGUGUUAUAGACUUUGUUGAUACUGCCUGUCUAGACCGAGGACUGCGUCUUUGACUAGGAUGCU
rnacentral:rRNA from 1 species